GCCCCCAUAGCUCAAUGGUAGAGCAACGGCCUUUUAAGCCGGUGGUUGGAGGUUCGAAUCCUCCUGGGGGCA
rnacentral:tRNA from 1 species